rnacentral:tRNA from 1 species
UGGGGUAUAGCUCAAUUGGUAGAGCACCUGGUUUUGAUCCAGGUUGUUGGAGAUUCGAGUUCUUCUACCCCAG